rnacentral:rRNA from 1 species
UACGUAGGUGGCAAGCGUUAUCCGGAAUUAUUGGGCGUAAAGCGCGCGUAGGCGGUUUUUUAAGUCUGAUGUGAAAGCCCGCAGCUCAACAGUGGAAGUUCUUUGGAAACUGGAUGACUUGAGUGCAGUAGAGGAAAGUGGAAUUCCAUGUGUAGCGGUGAAAUGCGUAGAGAUAUGGAAGAACACCAGUGGCGAAGGCGGCUUUCUGGACUGUAACUGACGCUGAGGUUCGAAAGUGUGGGGAUCAAACAGG